UGCAUAUCAAUAAGCGGAGGAAAAGAAACCAACAGGGAUUGCCUUAGUAACGGCGAGUGAAGCGGCAAAAGCUCAAAUUUGAAAUCUAGCACUUUCAGUGUUCGAGUUGUAAUUUGAAGAAGGUAACUUUGGAAUUGGCUCUUGUCUAUGUUCCUUGGAACAGGACGUCACAGAGGGUGAGAAUCCCGUGCGAUGAGAUGUCCAAUUCUAUGUAAAGUGCUUUCGAAGAGUCGAGUUGUUUGGGAAUGCAGCUCUAAGUGGGUGGUAAAUUCCAUCUAAAGCUAAAUAUUGGCGAGAGACCGAUAGCGAACAAGUACAGUGAUGGAAAGAUGAAAAGAACUUUGAAAAGAGAGUGAAAAAGUACGUGAAAUUGUUGAAAGGGAAGGGCUUGAGAUCAGACUUGGUAUUUUGUGUUCCUUAUUCUUUUUGGAUUUGGUUCCUCACAGCUUACCGGGCCAGCAUCGGUUUGGAUGGUAGGAUAAUGACAUUGGAAUGUAGCUUUGCUUCGGUGAAGUGUUAUAGACUUUGUUGAUACUGCCUAUCUAGACCGAGGACUGCGUCUUUGACUAGGAUGCUGGCGUAAUGAUCUUAAGCCGCCCGUCUUGAAACACGG
rnacentral:rRNA from 1 species